UACGAGAGGCCCAAACGUUAUUCGGAAUUACUGGGCUUAAAGAGUUCGUAGGCGGCGCAGAAAGUAGGGUGUGAAAGCCCUCGGCUUAACCGAGGAAUUGCGCUCUAAACUACUGUGCUUGAGGAACCUAGAGGUGAGCAGAACUGAUGGUGGAGCGGUGAAAUGCGUUGAUAUCAUCAGGAAUACCGGAGGCGAAGGCGGCUCACUGGGGGUUUUCUGACGCUGAGGAACGAAAGCCGGGGGAGCGAACGGG
rnacentral:rRNA from 1 species